rnacentral:rRNA from 1 species
CGAAAGUCGAUUCCCUCCGAGACGGAUCCUGAGUACGGCGGGACACGUGAAACCCCGUCGGAAUCCGGCAGGACCAUCUGCCAAGGCUAAAUACUCCCUAGUGACCGAUAGUGAAGCAGUACCGUGAGGGAAAGGUGAAAAGCACCCCGGAAGGGGAGUGAAAAAGAACCUGAAACCGUGCGCUUACAAGAAGUCAGAGCCCGUUAUAGGGGUGAUGGCGUGCCUUUUGUAGAAUGAACCGGCGAGUUAUGAUCACGUGCAAGGUUAAGGUGGAGAGCCGGAGCCGCAGCGAAAGCGAGUCUGAAUAGGGCGAAUAAGUACGUGGUUGUAGACCCGAAACCGUGUGAUCUACCCCUGUCCAGGGUGAAGGUGCGGUAACACGCACUGGAGGCCCGAACCCACGCACGUUGAAAAGUGCGGGGAUGAGGUGGGGGUAGCGGAGAAAUUCCAAUCGAACUCGGAGAUAGCUGGUUCUCCCCGAAAUAGCUUUAGGGCUAGCCUCGGUGUCAAGCGUCGUGGAGGUAGAGCACUGAUUGGAUGCGGGGCCCGCCAAGGGUUACCAAGUUCAGUCAAACUCCGAAUGCCACAGACGUAUAACCGGGAGUCAGACAGUGAGUGCUAAGAUCCAUUGUCAAGAGGGAAACAGCCCAGAUCAUCAGCUAAGGUCCCCAAGUGUGUGUUAAGUGGGAAAGGAUGUGGAGUUGCACAGACAACCAGGAUGUUGGCUUAGAAGCAGCCACCAUUGAAAGAGUGCGUAAUAGCUCACUGGUCGAGUGACUCUGCGCCGAAAAUGUAACGGGGCUAAACACACCACCGAAGCUAUGGCAAUGCAGCAAUGCAUUGGGUAGGGGAGCGUUGAAUACGG